GAAUAAAGUUCCUACGUCUACACUCAAAACACUCUUAUUCUUUUUGAUACAAAGCCUCACAAACUGUAACUCUCAUUUUUUUUUGUUACACUAUAAAUCACUCAGACUAACAAUGUUUUGAAUGAGACUAUUACAUAAGUCUUGUGUUUGUGAAGCAGCCCUUUUAUAGCGUUUUAGGCUCUUCACGCAGAGAGAUCAACCCAAGGGAUUUGAUCCUUGGAAAUGGAAUUAACGAUCCUAUUUCCAAGAAUAAGACUGAGCUUUUGCUGCUUUCCUUGUGCGUCAAGGCAGCAUUAUCAUUCAUCAAGAUUAUUACACUUCAUGAGAUAUGCCUUUCAAUGUUGGAGAUGGCCUUUCCUUCUUUGAAACGAUUUGAUGCUGCUGGAAUAUUUCUUCUUUAAUGUUGUAGAUAUCUUUUCCUUUCUUGAAUGAUUUUGUACUGCUGAAGAGUACUGCUGUUAGCAACGUUAGGGCUGGGAAGUCAUUACUUGAGUGAGCCCAGCUUGUUGGGGCUGUUUUGUGGGCUCCCAUCUUGUUGGGGCUGCUUUGUGGGCUCACAUAUAUUCCUUGUGCGAUUUAAUUACUAUACCUGCACAAGUAAAAUUAUCAUCAUAAAAACUUGACACUAACAACCACCUCACCAGCAGAAUCAGCAGCACUAGUAGAAGAAUCAGUAGGUACUGCUAACUGAGUUCGUUUUCGAUCUUCAAGUAUAGUAAUUCUUUUUAUGGUAUCUUCUGCAAUUAAUAUGCAAACUGAAAAGAGAGCUCUUUAAGUCCAGUAUGUUGUUGUUGUAUGCUAUGGUGUUUCUUGCAUGAUGAUUGGUCUCGAAAAGGCUAAUAAGCUUGACUUUUUUAAGCUGCAAUUUAAUUUCGAUGAGCUGUUUGCGUAAUUAUAGUGCCCACGUGUGGGAUUACUCUGGGUAUGUUGUUGUUGUUGUUUGCAUAAUUGUAGUGCAUAAUUGCAUAACCGGUUUCAUUUUCAAUCUUCAAGUGUAGCUAACUCUAUUGAUUGUCUAAGCUCAUUCGAAUCAUAGCAAUUCUUGGUUAAGGGGAUGUCUUUGUAGAGUAUAUUCUGCAAUUAAUUUGGAAACUGAGAAUGCAGGUCUUUAAGUCUAGUAUGAGCUACUAUUAGUACUUCUUGGAUAAGAUAAGCUAUUUUAUUUUCAGUAAUGAUGUUAUUGGUGAGUUUCUUGCAUGAUGAUUGGCUUGGAUUAGGCUAAUUGACAUAUAAACUCGAUCUUCUUAAGCUGCAAUUUAAUUUCGACGAGCUGUUUGUGUAAUUCCACUGCAACAUUGAUGAACAAUUUUAAUUAUUGUUGUGUGAAUUGAUUGAAGAGCAUUUCAUGGAAGAUGGGCCUAUAUGCCUAUGAUGAACUUAUUUUUGUGAAAGAUAUAUCUGUCUCUGAUCAUUUGUUUUUUGCGAUGAAGGUAGUGAUACUAUGUCAUCUGAACAGGAACUGUUUUUUGGUACUGUCUUAUGUUGCAUUUAAGUUUGUCAAUCUUUAAAUCCAAUUUGUGCUUGAUGUAUGAUGUUGUCCCUUGAUGGAUCUGGAAGGUGUGGAUGAAAAGUGCUCUGGUUUUGAUAGUGAUAUAGGUUUUGAACAGACCUAGAGGUCUUGGAAAUAUAUGAUUGACACUGAAUUUUGGCUAGAUUUUGAAUAAACUUCUUUAUUAACAUGGUGUUGUAUCACAAAGUGUUGAAGCUCUCCCUUUGUCUUAGAUUUUUUGACCUACUAUUUUGUUCCAUCCUGUAAAAGAUAUCUUUGCUUGAAUGGGAAAGUCCAUGCUGAUGGAGUAUCCACUUGUAAUAUUUUCACAUUGCAAUUUUAUUAUAAUUUAUAAAAUAUAUGUAAGAAACUCAAAUAUACUCUCUCCGUUCACUUUUACCUGUCCACUAUUCCCUUUAUAGAUUUUCAUUUUUACUUGUCAAUUUUCACAUAUCAAAGUAAGACAAAAAAAAAAAACUUGUUUUACCCUUAGCAUUUAUUACUCAUUUCAAAUCAUUUUCCCAACUCCAAUACAAUUAUAUAUCAUUUAAUAGGGGUAUUGUGGUAAAAAUACAUAUCUUAAUCAUUGUUUCUUAAAUAGCGUGACAAGUAAAAGUGAACGGAGGGAGUAAUAAACUUAUUGCACAUUUUUUCUAUUAAUCUCCGUGAAAAGAACAGGCAGAUCAACUAAAAUGAGGUGUAAUUGUUCUUGAAGCUGAAGUGUUUUAGUAUGCUGGGUUCUUAGGUUAUCCAUUUUGCAUCAACUUUUAGGUUACAUAAUUAUGGAUGAUCUACUAACGAGCUAUGCAUCUUGUUUGAGCGUUUGAAUAAUUUGCGGUAGACCAGAAUGGAAUUGACUGCAUUGCGAUAUCCUAUUAUGAUGAUAGAACUAAUAUGCUAGUCUGGAGUAAUACUGCGGAAGUUGUAAUUCUUCCAACCAUUGUAGACUCUCCUUUUGAGAUGGAAUCAUUGUAGAAUCUCUUGCAAAAGAAUUUGGGUUGGAAUGAUUAACAACCCAAGAAACUGUAAAGGCUCUGUAGUAUUUCGUCUAAACAACAACAACAACAACAACAACAUACCCAGUGUAGUCCCACAAGUGGUGUCUGCCAAGGCUUUAGAGGUUAGGUGAAUCCUGUAUUUGUAGAUAGCAACCCGGGCUACUGCAGUGUGGCCAGACCAUGAGCUUUCCUCUUUACUCAAAUUGCACUUGGUACUCUUUGAUUGGCUUUAAAGACAACACUAACAGUUUUUGCUUGGAUUCUUUCUAUCAUAUGGUACCCUGCUUCUCAAUGUUGUUGUAUUACUAGCACUUCAGUAGGUAAUAGCCUUUUUUUCUUUGUAAGCUCAUCUGUCUCUAAUCAUUUGGUUGUUGCAGUUAAGGUAGUGAUUUUAUAGGAUCCAAACAGUAAAUUAUUUUUGGUACUGGUUUAUGUUGAAUUUAAGUACGUGAAUCGAGAAAUCCAGAUGGUGCUUGAUGUACAAUGUUGUCUCUUGAUGGAUCUGGCAGGUGUGGAUGGAAAAUGCUCUGGUUUUGAAUAGUGCUACAGGUUGUGAACAGACCUAGAGAGUACUGAAGCUCUCCCUUCGUCCUUGCUUUUUUGUCGCUUGAACGGGAAGUCCAUCGUGAAGAAGAUAAUCCACUUACAAGCAGGUCAAUUGAAAUGAGGUGGGAGGGUAAUUGUUCUUGCUAGCUGAAGUUCUGUAGUAUGCUGGCCUGCUGGGCUCCUAGAUUGUCCUUUUUUUUCGAGAAAGGGCUUGCUCUGUAAAGGUCAAUUAGUCAUUAGCUUCUCCUGCUUACCUCAAUGAAGAUUAUUUUAGAUCCUUUCUCUAGCAAAGAAUCACUCGGCUAAGGAUUUGGUGUUUGGUGAUCAGUCUCUGGGGCUAUAUUUGAUGGGGGUAGAGUGACAUUUUCGUUCAAAGAGCUUGUAAUUGUUCGAGACUGGAAGUUUCAAACUAAUGUUCUUAGGAGUACAUGCCAAACUUUUCCCCUUUUGACAUUUAAUACUGCUUUCUGAGAUGACUUAAUGAACAUUAUAGUCGUUUGGUCAA